rnacentral:rRNA from 1 species
CCGCGACCCCAGGUCAGGCGGGGUUACCCGCUGAGUUUAAACUUUUAU